GACAGAGGGGGCAAGCGUUGCUCGGAAUUACUGGGCGUAAAGGGCGCGUAGGCGGGAUGGCAAGUCGGUCGUGAAGUCCCUCGGCUCAACCGAGGAACGUCGAUCGAUACUGCUGUUCUUGAGGAUUGCAGAGGAGACUGGAAUUCCCGGUGUAGCGGUGAAAUGUGUAGAGAUCGGGAGGAACACCGGUGGCGAAGGCGGGUCUCUGGGCAAUUCCUGACGCUGAGGCGCGAAAGCGUGGGGAGCAAACGGG
rnacentral:rRNA from 1 species